rnacentral:rRNA from 1 species
CCUACGGGCGGCAGCAGUGGGGAAUAUUGGACAAUGGGGGCAACCCUGAUCCAGCCAUGCCGCGUGUGUGAAGAAGGCCCUCGGGUUGUAAAGCACUUUCAGUGAGGAAGAACGCCUGGUGGUUAAUACCCAUCAGGAAAGACAUCACUCACAGAAGAAGCACCGGCUAACUCCGUGCCAGCAGCCGCGGUAAUACGGAGGGUGCGAGCGUUAAUCGGAAUUACUGGGCGUAAAGCGCGCGUAGGUGGCUUGAUAAGCCGGUUGUGAAAGCCCCGGGCUCAACCUGGGAACGGCAUCCGGAACUGUCAAGCUAGAGUGCAGGAGAGGAAGGUAGAAUUCCCGGUGUAGCGGUGAAAUGCGUAGAGAUCGGGAGGAAUACCAGUGGCGAAGGCGGCCUUCUGGACUGACACUGACACUGAGGUGCGAAAGCGUGGGUAGCAAACAGGAUUAGAUACCCUGGUAGAC